UUUAUGUUGUUUGGAUACUGAUAGAAUGUUGUUAAAGAUGAAUUUUCCAGUUUUUUUUUAGUUUUUCAAAUGGAAAAGACAAUACUUGCUGCUAAAAGAUUAUAAUAUAUGCUAGGUACCUUAAAACUUGAGAAUGUGGAUGAAAUUUCUUGAUGUCGAUAACAACAUUGAUUAAAAUGUCACUGAGUCUUGUAUCUUUCAUUUAAUUCUUUGAUUGAAA
rnacentral:lncRNA from 1 species